rnacentral:rRNA from 1 species
GAUGAACGCUGGCGGCGUGCCUUAUACAUGCAAGUCGAGCGAAGCGGGGAAGGGUGAGUAACACGUAGAGAACCUCCUAUAAGACUGGGAUAACCUCGGGAAACCAGAGCUAAACCGGAACCUUAUAGAUGGAUUGGCGCUGCAUUAGCUAGUUGGAAGGGUAACGGCUUACCAAGGCAACGAUGAAUAGCCGACCUGAGAGGUUGAUCAUCCACAUGGGACCUGCGACACGUUCCAGACGCCUACGUGGGGCAGCGUUGAGGAAUCAUCCGCAAUGGGCGAAAGCCUGACGGAGCAACACCGCGUGAGUUAUGAAGUUCUUCGGAUCGUAAAAUUCUGUUAUUAGGGAAGCGGUACCUAAUCAGAAAGCCCCGGCUAACUACGUGCCAGGCGCCGCGGUAAUUC